rnacentral:rRNA from 1 species
UACGUAGGGCGCAAGCGUUGUCCGGAAUUAUUGGGCGUAAAGAGCUCGUAGGCGGCCUGUCGCGUCCGCUGUGAAAUCCCGGGGUUUAACCCCGGGCGUGCAGUGGAUACGGGCUGGCUGGAGGCAGGCAGGGGAGAACGGAAUUCCCGGUGUAGCGGUGAAAUGCGCAGAUAUCAGGAAGAACACCCGUGGCGAAGGCGGCUCUCUGGGACGGUACUGACGCUGAGACGCGAAAGCGUGGGGAGCGAACAGG